ACUACUAGGACAUAUGGAUCUAGUAGGGAACAGGAAUAAUGACCAGACCUUAACAAAGAGUAUUCAUAACUCCUCGAAUAGGAGGAUGCAUUAUGGAAACAAAGAGCUUAAAAAUUUUAGCUUCAGAACGGGGACAAGAAUUCUAAGUACUUCCAUAGAUAGGCCACCCUUCACAAGUGUCAAAAUUACAUAGUUAUCUUAGGGGAUGAGGAGGGAGAAUGGAUCCUUGAAUAGGAGCCCUUGUACGACUACAUUAUACAUUACUUUUAUGAGCUCUUCAAGGCGUUCGAUGGGGACUAUGAGUUGGUA
rnacentral:lncRNA from 1 species